GCCUGGAUGGUGAAAUUGGUAGACACGCUAGUUUCAGGGACUAGUGCUCGCAAGGGCGUGGAGGUUCGAGUCCUCUUCCAGGCACUA
rnacentral:tRNA from 1 species